GACGAACGCUGGCGGCGUGCUUAACACAUGCAAGUCGAACGAGUGGCGAACGGGUGAGUAACGCAUCGGAACGUACCGAGUAAUGGGGGAUAACUGUCCGAAAGGACAGCUAAUACCGCAUAUUAUUCGAGCGGCCGAUGUCUGAUUAGCUGGUUGGCGGGGUAAAGGCCCACCAAGGCGACGAUCAGUAGCGGGUCUGAGAGGAUGAUCAGGCACACGGGGACUGAGACACGGCCCAGACGCAUACGGGAGGCAGCAUUGGGGAAGUUUGGACAAUGGGCGCGAGCCUGAUCCAGCCAAGACGCGCAUCUGAAGAAGGCCUUCGGGUUGUAAAGGACUGUUGUCAGUGAAGCGGUACCUGAAGAAUAAGCACCGGCUAACUACGUGCCAGCAGCCGCGGUAAUUC
rnacentral:rRNA from 1 species